UACAGAGGUGCCAAGCGUUAGGCGGAAUCACUGGGCUUAAAGCGCGUGUAGGCGGGUCGUUAAGUGUCCGAGUGAAAUCCCACGGCUCAACCGUGGAACUGCCGGGCAUACUGGCGAUCUUGAGGCAUUCAGGGGCGAGCGGAACAAAUGGUGGAGCGGUGAAAUUCGUAGAUAUCCGCAAGAACACCAGUGGCGAAGGCGGCUCACUGGCCCGAAUCUGACGCUGAGGCGCGAAAGCGUGGGGAGCAAACAGG
rnacentral:rRNA from 1 species